GACGAACGCUGGCGGCGUGCUUAACACAUGCAAGUCGAAUGGAAAGGCCCUGCUUUUGUGGGGUGCUCGAGUGGCGAACGGGUGAGUAACACGUAAGUAACCUGCCCUUGACUUUGGGAUAACUUCAGGAAACUGGGGCUAAUACCGGAUAGGAGCUCCUGCUGCAUGGUGGGGGUUGGAAAGUUUCGGCGGUUGGGGAUGGACUCGCGGCUUAUCAGCUUGUUGGUGGGGUAGUGGCUUACCAAGGCUUUGACGGGUAGCCGGCCUGAGAGGGUGACCGGCCACAUUGGGACUGAGAUACGGCCCAGACUCCUACGGGAGGCAGCAGUGGGGAAUAUUGCACAAUGGGCGGAAGCCUGGUGCAGCAACGCCGCGUGCGGGAUGACGGCCUUCGGGUUGUAAACCGCUUUCGCCUGUGACGAAGCGUGAGUGACGGUAAUGGGUAAAGAAGCACCGGCUAACUACGUG
rnacentral:rRNA from 1 species